CCUACUGGUGGCAGCAGUGGGGAAUAUUGCACAAUGGGGGCAACCCUGAUGCAGCGACGCCGCGUGAGUGAAGAAGUAUUUCGGUAUGUAAAGCUCUAUCAGCCGGGAAGAAAAUGACGGUACCUGAUUAAGAAGCCCCGGCUAACUACGUGCCAGCAGCCGCGGUAAUACGUAGGGGGCAAGCGUUAUUCGGAUUUACUGGGUGUAAAGGGAGCGUAGACGGCAGAACAAGUCUGGAGUGAAAUGCCGGGGCUUAACCCCGGAACUGCUUUGGAAACUGGGCAGCUAGAGUGCAGGAGAGGGAAGUGGAAUUCCAAGUGUAGCGGUGAAAUGCGUAGAGAUGAGGAGGAACACCAGUGGCGAAGGCGGCUUACUGGACUGUAACUGACGCUGAGGCGCGAAAGCGUGGGGAGCAAACAGGAUUAGAUACCCCUGUAGUC
rnacentral:rRNA from 1 species